rnacentral:rRNA from 1 species
AUUGAACGCUGGCGGCAGGCUUAACACAUGCAAGUCGAACGAGUGGCGGACGGGUGAGUAAUGCUUGGGAAUCUAGCUUAUGGAGGGGGAUAACUACGGGAAACUGUAGCUAAUACCGCGAACUAUAGGAUGAGCCCAAGUGGGAUUAGGUAGUUGGUGAGGUAAAGGCUCACCAAGCCGACGAUCUCUAGCUGGUCUGAGAGGUGGACCAGCCACACGGGGACUGCGACACGGCCCAGACUCCGACGGGAGGCAGCAGUGGGGAAUAUUGCGCAAGGGGGGCAAUCGGACGCAGCCAGGCCGCGUGAAUGAAGAAGGCCUUCGGGUUGUAAAGUUUUUUCAGUAGGGAGGCGUUAACUGCAGAAGAAGCACCGGCUAACUCCGUGCCAGCAGCCGCGGUAAUUC